AGUGAACGCUGGCGGUAGGCCUAACACAUGCAAGUCGAACGGCAGCACAGUAAGAGCUUGCUCUUACGGGUGGCGAGUGGCGGACGGGUGAGGAAUACAUCGGAAUCUACUUUUUCGUGGGGGAUAACGUAGGGAAACUUACGCUAAUACCGCAUACGACCUACGGGUGAAAGCAGGGGAUCUCCGGACCUUGCGCGAUUGAAUGAGCCGAUGUCGGAUUAGCUAGUUGGCGGGGUAAAGGCCCACCAAGGCGACGAUCCGUAGCUGGUCUGAGAGGAUGAUAAGCCACACUGGAACUGAGACACGGUCCAGACUCCUACGGGAGGCAGCAGUGGGGAAUAUUGGACAAUGGGCGCAAGCCUGAUCCAGCCAUACCGCGUGGGUGAAGAAGGCCUUCGGGUUGUAAAGCCCUUUUGUUGGGAAAGAAAAGCAGCAGGUUAAUACCCCGCUGUUCUGACGGUACCCAAAGAAUAAGCACCGGCUAACUUCGUG
rnacentral:rRNA from 1 species